rnacentral:rRNA from 1 species
UACGUAGGGUCCGAGCGUUGUCCGGAAUUACUGGGCGUAAAGAGCUCGUAGGUGGUUUGUCGCGUUGUUCGUGAAAACUCACAGCUCAACUGUGGGCGUGCGGGCGAUACUGGCAGACUAGAGUACUGCAGGGGAGACUGGAAUUCAUGGUGUAGCAGUGAAAUGCGUAGAGAUCAUGAGGAAGACCAGUGGCGAAGGCGGGUCUCUGGACAGUUCCUGACACUGAGGCACGAAGGCUAGGGGAGCGAGCGGG